GACGAACGCUGGCGGCGUGCCUAACACAUGCAAGUCGAACGGAAAGGCCCUGCUUGCACGUUACUCGAGUGGCGAACGGGUGAGUAACACGUGGGUGAUCUGCCCUUCACUUCGGGUUAAGCUUGGGAAACUGGGCCUAAUACCGGAUAGGACCGCACUUGAGUGUGUGUGGUGGAAAGUUUUUUCGGUGUAGGAUGAGCUGGCGGCCUAUCAGCUUGUUGGUGGGGUAAUGGCCUACCAAGGCGGCGACGCGUAGCUGGACUGUGAGGCUGUACGGCGACACUGAGACUGAGAGAAGGCACAGACUGGUACUGGAGGCAGAUGGGGGGAAUAUUGCCCAAUGGGCGCAAGGCUGAUGAAGCGGCGCCGCGGGGGGGAUGAAGGUCUUAGGGUUGUAAAAUCCUUUCGAUAGGGACGAAGCUUUUUGUGACGGUACCUAGAUAAGAAGCACCGGCUAACUACGUG
rnacentral:rRNA from 1 species